GACAGAGGAUGCAAGCGUUAUCCGGAAUGAUUGGGCGUAAAGCGUCUGUAGGUGGCUUUUUAAGUCCGCCGUCAAAUCCCAGGGCUCAACCCUGGACAGGCGGUGGAAACUACCAAGCUGGAGUACGGUAGGGGCAGAGGGAAUUUCCGGUGGAGCGGUGAAAUGCGUAGAUAUCUGGAGGAACAUCAGUGGCGAAGGCGACACCCUGGACUCAUACUGACACUGAGGUGCGAAAGCGUGGGGAGCAAACAGG
rnacentral:rRNA from 1 species